GUACAUACGCUUCAGCAGUACAUAUACUAAAAUUGAAACUAUACAGAGAAGAUUAGCAUGGCCCCUGCGCAAGGAUGGCAUAAAUUUCGUAGUGGAUGAAUGCAAAUGAAU